GAUGAACGCUGGCGGCGUGCUUAACACAUGCAAGUCGAACGGAAAGGCUCCUGCUUGCAGGGGUACUCGAGUGGCGAACGGGUGAGUAACACGUGGGUGAUCUGCCCUGCACUUCGGGAUAAGCCUGGGAAACUGGGUCUAAUACCGGAUAGGACGAUGGUUUGGAUGCCAUCGUGGAAAGUUUUUUCGGUGUGGGAUGAGCUCGCGGCCUAUCAGCUUGUUGGUGGGGUAAUGGCCUACCAAGGCGUCGACGGGUAGCCGGCCUGAGAGGGUGUACGGCCACAUUGGGACUGAGAUACGGCCCAGACUCCUACGGGAGGCAGCAGUGGGGAAUAUUGCACAAUGGGCGCAAGCCUGAUGCAGCGACGCCGCGUGGGGGAUGACGGCCUUCGGGUUGUAAACUCCUUUCGCUAGGGACGAAGCGCAAGUGACGGUACCUGGAGAAGAAGCACCGGCUAACUACGUG
rnacentral:rRNA from 1 species